GUGGGGAAUCUUCCGCAAUGGACGAAAGUCUGACGGAGCAACGCCGCGUGAGUGAUGAAGGUCUUCGGAUUGUAAAGCUCUAUUAAUCGGGACGAAAGAGCCUAGUGUGAAUAAUGCUAGGAAGUGACGGUACCGGAAUAGAAAGCCACGGCUAACUACGUGCCAGCAGCCGCGGUAAUACGUAGGUGGCAAGCGUUGUCCGGAAUUAUUGGGCGUAAAGCGCGCGCAGGCGGAUCUGCCAGUCUGUCUUAAAAGUUCGGGGCUUAACCCCGUGAUGGGAUGGAAACUACAGAUCUAGAGUAUCGGAGAGGAAAGUGGAAUUCCUAGUGUAGCGGUGAAAUGCGUAGAUAUUAGGAAGAACACCAGUGGCGAAGGCGACUUUCUGGACGAAAACUGACGCUGAGGCGCGAAAGCCAGGGGAGCGAACGGGAUUAGAAACCCGGGUAGUCC
rnacentral:rRNA from 1 species